rfam:Blastocystis hominis, Singapore isolate B (sub-type 7) whole genome shotgun sequence assembly, scaffold_1
GGCCUACUAGUGUAGUGGUUAUCACGUUUGCUUUACACGCAAAAGGUCGUGAGUUCGAGCCUCACGUAGACCA